GGUAACCAUACAACAGUGCAUCUACUGCAUUUUACUUUUACAUGGAUUAUAGCAAAAGUUACUGACUUUUUCCUUUGUAGCCUUGGCCAGGAGUCGGGCAUGGUCCUCUGGUGAGAUUCUGAAGGCCUCCUGUGCAUACUGAUAAAGGUCUUGUAUGUACGGUGCUGUACCUCUGGUUUGAUAGCAAACUGGCUCUCUGAGGGAGGGUGUCGUUCAUGAUCUUCCUGAAAUAUUCAAAUGUUCCAUGAAUCCUUCAAUGUGAAAUAGAAGCACAAUUUUUUUUUCAUGGUAACAUACAAAGCCCUGCAUACAACAGUACUUUUUAGGUUUCUAUUUGCCGGGUUUGGCCUCUUCCAGCAGGAGAUGACUCACAGGUUCUGCAGUCCUACUUGUCCCUAUGUUGCUCGACCAGCUGCCAUUGAUGGCAGUCAACCGCAAGUCCAAGUACGUGCAAUGUUCCUAACCCUCACCCAAAGCCGGGCUACCUUACUGGAAACAUUAGUGCCAAACCCUGUGUGGGCCGCAACUCAUGUAAUGAUGCCCAAGUUCCUCUAAAAUACCUACUAUACAACACUAACUAAAAUAACAAUGCUAAAAAAAAACCUGUGUAGCAAAAUGAAUUCCAACUGCUCACAUAAAAUAUUGCAUCAUUAUUCAAGUGCUAGAUGCAUCAUUCGGGAAUUAAUUUACUUUAAUGUGAAUCUUUAGUAAUACAGUUCAGUCAUCAAAGACAGCUUGAUUUCUGGUUUUUGAUUCACACGUCACAUAGACUGUACGUUGCCCAUUGAUUGGGAAAAUCAUACCUCUACCUUCCUACUUACUGUUGAGGGGGGGAGGACAAAUGAAUAAAAAUAAUACG